CACUUUACAAUUGGGUAAAGAAGGCAAUGCUUGGAGAACAUGGUAAUUUGGAUGAAACAACACCAAAAGACCUAAGAAAACCUGGCUGGUUGGUUGACUUUAGUGUACCCAUCAGAUGUCUUAAAAUGAUAUAGGACACCUCUCCAAAAUCCUUGGCUACUUUUUGAGAAACUAAAUCAGUUGUUCAAUCCAAUUUCAAUCUGAGCCCUAAUUCUUUGUGACCAAUACUGAUAUAUUUCUUUUUUGUCUUGCAACUUCAAAGAAGUGUGCAGUUGUGUUCAUGGCAAUUCUGCAAAAUCCCUAGUUCUUUGUAAGUUUCACCAGGCAUUGAUUUGAUGCAAUCAUUAGGUAUGGAAGCAGAAGCUAACCCAAAUGGGAGCUGUGGUUGAUGAUAACCUCUCAAAGAGAGUUACUCAUAUUUUUGCAAUGAACUCUAGUACGCUUCUACAGCAAGUGAACCUGGAACGCUUGCAUCGACAUGAAGGAGUGAGUUUCUUCUUUGUACUGGUUACUGUUUAGAUGAACAUCAAAGGUUCUUUCCUGAUUUUGUUAAUCUUUUUGUUCUAGAUUAUUCAGAUAUUGGGAUGUAAUAUCAUGUGAGUCUGUUCAAUUUAUGACAUUGACAAUACUAUCUAGAAACAGCGACAAAAUGAAGCAAUGGACCUUUUCACCUAUCAUUUCUGGAUAUGGAGAAAGAACAUGCAGUUGGUUGUGUUUAUAUUAUGAAAAAAAAAUGAAUCUCAAAAGCAAAAAAAGAUCACAUCAUGACACAUUCAGUUACUGAGAUAUAUCCAUACACAAAUGUGGCUUGGUAUAAUCACACACAUGGUUUAUAGCAAUGGGAGUGGACAGGAAGUUAUAAUAACAAAAAGUAUGGACAAAAACACAAAGAGAAACUUUUUAUCUCAUAAAAUAAAAGCAGACAAAUUUUCAGUUUUCUGCUCCAUAUAAUUAGAAAUCUAAAAUAACUUAAUUUCCUAGCUUGUAUUGGAAUAGAUGUAUACUACCACACAAGGAAGUCCGUUGGACUGGUACAAAUGGGCAAUACGUGCCGGUUAGGGCCUGGACCAGUACAUGGACAAUGCCACGGUUGUCGUUCGCAUCGUCGUUGCCGUUCGAUGCCACCACUACCAUUUGCCAUUGCCUACCUCCUCAGUAUUCUCCCUCAUCUUCUCCUUUUCUUCUUCUUCCUCCUCCACUGCUUCUUCCUUCUCCUCUUCCUCGAUCGCCUCUACCUUCUUCCUUCCUCUUCCUCCUUAUUCCUUCUCCUCUUCCUCUAUCGCCUCCUCUUCUUCCUUUUUCUUGCUUCCUCUUUCUUUUUCUUCCUCCUUCCUCCACUAUGGCCUUCCUCUUCUUCUUUUUCGACUUUGAAACACCAAAAUGUCUGGUGUACCAUGUGUUGGUGUCAACCAUUACGUACCAUUCCGACCAGCGAUUGGUACAAGUUCGGUACACAAUACAACAUUCUUUGCAACUACAUACAAUUCAGUCUGAGUUUGUUGGCAUCCUUAUUAGACAUAAGGUGACCAUUUAUUAAUUAAAAUUUCAGUUGAAGUUUCAUCUAUGUUGUUUAAAUAAUUUUGAUUCCAAAUAAGUGGCAUUUUUGGUAAAUUCUAUGAGGAAUAAUUUUUGUAGUAUUAUUAAUACUUAGGAUUCACGCUUUAAUAAUUCUUGUAGUAUUAUUAAUAUUUAGGACUCAUGCUUUAAUAAUUCAAUUAGAUACUAGGGUGCAUUUAUAUAUUUAUAUUUCUCUACUGACAGCAUGCGAUAUGCAUGUGAGAUUACUGAUGCUACAGCAAUACAAGAAAUACAUUGAAGUAAAGCUCACAUUAGAAAUCACAAUUUCAAACUACCACCAAUCUUCAUUUUUGAAGGAGUACAAAGCAUUCAAUUAGUCAUAAAUUUUUUUGGAGUCGAAAUUCCAUUUUUAAAGUAUAUGAAAUAAUUGGUAGAAGUAGAACAGUGCAUUUGUUAACAUGCUGACGACAAAAUGAUUCUGAAUAUCUUUGUUCUCCAUCUGUUUGUAUCUUUCCUUAUUAGAGCUGUUAUUAUAUAUAUACAACCAUAUGAAGGCUUGGUUGCCAAUUGCCAUCAGUCUCUGUUAGGUAUUAUGUUACUGACUUUAUAUAUACUAUCAUGAUAGUACAAUUCUGAUUUAAUCAAAUAAUGUAAUUCUGUGAUAUUCUAUCAUGAUCACUGCAUAAUCUUUUUUUGUUUUGUUUUGUGGAGAAGAGGAUCUGCUUGUUCUUUUAUCAUGAUCUAUGAUAUAAAAUAUUUCAGUAUCAUAAUGUUAUUCCAUCAAUUAGAAGUUUAUCUACCUCUACUAGCUUUAUACAGAUUUAUCAAUGAGCAUACUUUUUUCAUGUUAUAUCUAGCAUGUAUUUGGAAAAUGAAGAUACAUAAUUGUUUGCACAGUGUUCCUUUUGCAAUUUAUUGUGUUUUAUUAACCAUUCACUUGAUUGGCUUGAUCUUUCUGUUGCAAUAAGCAGACCUCAAAAAUAAAAAAAAGAAUAAAUGCUUAACCAAACUAAGAGAAACUAUCAAAGCAUUACAACUUUCUUGCAUUAGUUGAUCAUGAUACUGUACAACUUUCUAGGAUAUCACAGUGCGAACUCGAGGAUCAUAUCAGGGAUUCUUUAUAUGAUAGAAAGGUUAAAAUUCAAAAUCCAAUCAUUGCUGCAUUACUAUAUCUAAUUUCUUUAAUGGGAAGAUACCAGAAUUUUUGUUGAUAUACUGGUAUUUUGGUCAUGUCCUUGAACUCUUAUGUUGGAAGUAAUCGUGAAUUCAUCAUGUUGUUUUCUUAACACAAUUGAUCCCUAGGAAAAAUGUAGGUUCUGUAUUUUCAAUUUUUCUUUUAUCAAUUUUUGCUGGAUACUGUCUACAUACUGCUUUUAAAAAUUAUGAAAUGCCUCUUUUGGCUUUUUCUAUCUCGUAUUGUAACUUAAAUGGAAAUUUAUACUUAAUUCAUCAUUAGCUAUUCUAGAACAUCUUAUUUUCAAAAUGCUGCUGCAGAGUUUACUUCAUUAUCAAUGGUUAGAGAACUGUCUAAGAUUAGGAGAAAAAAUAGCUGAAGAUCCAUAUGUGCUGAAGUUUCAAGGUGUUAAUAGAUCAGAUAAGCACUCUGGCAAGAUAUCUCCUGAACCAUCUGAAGCUAGAUAUUCUGAUGAUGAGCUGUCAAGCCACAAAAGGAUCAAAGUUUCCUCUAAGGUUGUGGAAGGAUCAAGCAUGGAAGAAAAUAGAGCCAAGAAAGCAGACUCAACUAGAUCAGAAAAUCAACACUCUGGCGUUCAUGGUCAAGUUGAGGGUCCAUCAACGAGCAAUGACAGUUUACAAGAUACCAAACUUGGGACUGAUGCUUCUGGUGCACCAACAAACAAGGUGUUUACAUUUGGGUUUUUUUCAUAGAUCUUACUGUCAUAUGUUUUGAAUUAACUUAAGAACAGAAACAGAUCAUAAGUUAGAUCUUCUUCAAAUCUUAAUUUUGGAUAAAACUAGAAGGGAGAAAACAUUUACAGAGAAAUGUGGUUUUUUUAACAUUCCUAAGCUUCUUUCAAAUUUUGUAGAAAGUAACACAACAAAUUCAUGCUAGUAUCUUCCUUUCUGUUAAGCCAAGAUGAUCUUUAUGUACCAACUCAUGGCUGCUCCAGCCUAACUUUCAUCAUUGUGCCCUGACCAUGCUUCCAAAUUCCAGGUCUGCUUAUGCAACUACACUGGUAUAUAUCAACUUAAUUCCCACUGUGGUUUUGACACCAGACUAGGCGACUUUCAUCUUUUGAUAAUGUUUUUUUGGGGAAAAUCAUGGUUGUUUUCUUGCCAAAACAUCUUCCAUUUCACCAAUGUAAUUAUUCAGCUGCCACUAUUGUUCUUGCUGUACCACCUUGCUAUUUCAUAUUGCAUAUGUUCUUAAUACCAACUUUACCGAUGUGGCCCUUGUUUGGCCACUGAAUUUAGAUUUACAGUCAGUAUAGCCUUCUGUAUUGGGGCCCUCUCUGCUACCAACUUAAACAGUUUUUCAUUAUUGUCUUUGGAAUAUCUCUUUUGCAAAAUAUUCUUUAAUUUUAUUCUUGGCAAUUAUCGACAAAAUUCUCCAACAGUGUCACAUGUUUUUUUUCUUCUGAUUUUGAUGAAAUAAAAAUCAUCAUUUGUCGCAAUGAAAUUGUUGAGGCAGAUCUCAGCAUUUUUUAUGUUGCUUGUUUGUUCUUUUUGUGGAGACUUAUGGAGGAUUUCUGCAUAUCCUAAGGGUCAUAUCUUGUGUGUUAUCAGGCUGAUGUGUCUCAGUCACAAUCUCCAUACAACCCACCAGAUCUGAACAGGAACAUUACUGAAAUAUUUGGAAAGCUGAUCAACAUUUACAGAGGUACACAGGAAGAGUGUCUGAAAUUACACAAUUCCUCUCAGUCCUGACACUCCUAAUGAUUGUUUCUCUGCAGCAUUAGGAGAUGAAAGGAGGUCAUUCAGCUACUACAAGGCCAUUCCUAUUAUUGAGAAGUUGCCUUUUAGAAUUGAAAGUGUUGAUCAGGUCAAAAAUCUUCCUACAAUUGGGAAGUCAUUGCAGGACCAUGUAAGCAAAUUCUUUCAAUUGCCAAGUAAAUUUGUUCAGUAUCCAUUUGCUUUGUGGGUAUGAAGACAAUCAUGUAUUUCUUUUCCAAGGUGAUAUUCCAUACUAUUAUUAGUUCUGCAGGAACAAGUCCACCUUACGUAUUUCCCAUAUAUUGAUCUUGUAAUUAUUUCAUGUAUACAAUUUGGUUCUCAACCUUUUUGUGACAAUACAAAAUGCUGUGAUAAAGGACUAGUUGAAGAAUUUGUUAGGAUGAGUUUUUCAUGGAUUUUAUAAGGUUUGUCUCAAUAAUUAACACAAUAUAAGGUGAUAUGGGUGAAGAAAUAUUUCCUUAUUUUUAUGGAAAGAGUUCCCUUGUCAUCAUAUUGUACUUUAUAUGACCUACCAUUCUCUAAGGUGUAGAGUUACAUUUCGUUUUAUCAUUUUGAAACACUAACGUGAAGCACCAGUAACCCCACAUUCCCAUAUUUUAUGACUUUAAAUAAUUCUGUAAAAAAGACAGUCUAAUAUUUUAUGGAAAUUUACAUGCUUAUUUUUGUGAUAACCCUUUCCUAGGAACCAGGAAGUACACUCAUAUCUGUUCUCUUGAGAAGUAUAUCUAAGCUGUUGGUUUAGGGUGAAUAUUACAGUACAAUCAUCAUUGGACAAGAGAAGCUAUUAUUUUAUGCAUUUACAUGAUUCUGAUAAACUGGGAGAUAAUAUGAUUACCAUCCACUAAUCACUAGUGCUAGACACAAAUAACAUACAUGAGUGGUUACUUACCUGUUUAUGCCACUUUGUCCAUGAUCUUAUGUCAUGGCCGUUAGCAUUAGACUGGUACCGUUGUUACUUGUCUAUCCAGGGAGUCAAUGGUUUGAUUUUUCUUUAAAAACACUAUUUAAAAUUAUGGUUAGUAAAGGGCUCCAACUUUUGUUUUAUGAAUUUCUAGUUAUUCCUUUCUUCUGAAUUCAUCUACUUCUAAGUGGAAUAUUAUAAAAAGAAUGACAUUUAUCUUGACCUAUGCUUAUUGUUUAUUAAUUUAAUCAAUUACAAAACAACAAUAACAGCAACACUUAGUGUACAACAUGCGCUACCAUGGAACUUAAUAUUUGACCUUUGCAUUGGUUUCUGACUGUUAGCAAUUUUGGAAAGUUUAUAGUUAUCAUUUUCGUUGAUUGCACACCCAGAAAGGUUCUGUACGUUCCAAGUUUCCAGACAGUCUUUUAUACAUUUCCACAACCAAAUAAAAAAAUAUUCAUUAGUGAUUGAAUAAUUUAUUCUGAGUGGCACUGAUGUGCUUAUAUAUUGCCUCCCUGAUGAAGAGGCCUUGCCCUGAAAAGUGAAAAGGAAAAAGGGAAAAAGAUACUAGUUCUGUUAAUACCAAAAAUUUUGUUAUUGUACCUGUAUUAAGGACAGUUUCAUAUAUGAUUAGUCGGUUGCCAUAAAAUUUUCUGUUUCCUUCUAUUUAUUUAUUUGUAACUUCAUGCAUGGCUCAAGAUGAAUAAUUGUGGUUUGCAGAUUCAUGAAAUAGUGACUACUGGAAAGUUAUCUAAAUUGGAGCACUUUGAGAAUGAUGACAAGGUAAUGAUAUGCUCCUAACUUCAAUAUUAAUUUUAACAUUCCAUGUAUACUUGCUUUGAUAACAACUAGUUUGCCACUGGAAGGUUAAUUUACAUUAGCAUAUGUUGGAACUUAAUACAUACUUUUUAUUUGGAGGUUGGCACAAAGCAUGAGGCUCCUACCAAGGCGGGGUCUGAGGAUUUGAGCAGAUAGGCUUUGUUUUAACCUCGAACCUAUUAAUCCAUAGAUUGUAGAGGAGCAAUCUUUAAGGCUAGCCCUUGAAUAAACUACCCUAUCUUCUGCAUUAUAAAACUCCGUAGACCAUUUUAAUCUCUAGAUUCAUUUAGCUAAAUUUGGAAAACAAGUCUUGUUUUCUUAUUAUAGCAGAUCAAGUGAAACUUAUUGUCAAAACAUAAAGCUUAGUGUAACUUGUGUAUCUUUGUAAUCUAGUGCAAGUGCUAGAGGUUCAUGUAAUAUUUCAAGUAAAAAUUUUGGCACCAAGGACUAUGAGAGAUAACGACACGAGGCACUCCUGAAUAUUAAAAUUUUUAAAAAUAUAUUAUGAUUAUAAAUAUGAUCACAAAAAUAAAAAUGACAUAUUAGAUUGCAAUCCUAUAAAGUAUCAAAUUAUAUUAUCCAAAUCUAAUAAUAAAAAUGUCAAAACAAAAUAAGACUAACAUUAAAUUCAAUGAUCAUCAUAAUCAAGUAAAUCAACUUCAUCAUUUUUAAACUUAUCAUCAUUUUCCUCUUUCUCAUCAGUUGAUUUAUAUUUCUCUUGUUAAUCUUCAUCAAUAUAGUUUUUUUCCUUUCAACAAUGGUUGGUGGUGAACUUAGGCUUUUGUACUCAUCUUUGUCUUUGUGAGUUGCCUUAUGCAUAUUCUUAUUUUUCCAAUACCUAAAGCUCUUGUUACAUCUCCCUAGGUCAAAUUAUUAUAAUUAAAUAUAAGCUCAUCUUUGGCAUUUUGUUAGUUAGCAUCAAUUUCUCCCCACCAACCAUUCAUUUGAAUCAUCAAUAUCUUGUAAUAGGAUUGGAUCAAUAAUAUAUUGCAAAUUAUAACGAGUCUUUAGUGCUUGAUUAUAUUUUAUAUAGACUUGAGCAUGUAAUCAUUGAUGCCCCAAUUGAUAUUUCUUUUUAUAUGAAUCUAUCAUGUUAUAAAAUUAAAUAUAUAUUAAUAAAUCUAUUUAAAAAAGAAUAGAUUAGUUGAAACUAAAAUAUUCUUAUAUAGCUACAUUCUCAAAGAUACCCUAACUUCAUUUAACCAAAUAAGCUUCACCAUUCAGUUGUAAAUUUUAAUUUCAUUAUUAAUAAUAACACACUAUAUGUUUUUAUAUGAUGUUAAUUAUAUGAAGUUAUAUUUGGGAAUUUAGUUGUCAAACUAUCAUAUUAAUUCCUUAGGAUUCUUAUAUAAAGAUAAUAUGUUGCUAAUCUUAUCUUAAACUUUAGUGCUUAGAACUAAUCUUGUAAUGUGCUAAUAUAACCCAUAUAGAAUUUCUACAUAAAACUCAAUAGUGGAGUUUUUAUAAAAGAAUUUUGGGUCUAAAUAGUGUCUUGCUACAUGUAGUGGAUUAUGAAGUUGACAUUCCUAUCUUUUGUCUAUGAUUGUAAAUAUAUCCUUGUGCUUUUCUUUAUUUCUACCAAAAGAAUUUUGAAUCGUUUUCUUAGCUCUAUCCAUUGCUUCAUAAAUAUAUCUCAUUCUUUUCAUUAUUUGCAAGCCGAAAAACUCGAACAAGAGGGCUCGUUACUUGUAAUGUAUAGACCAUGAUUCCAAAAGGAUGACAUUAAUAUAAUAUUGUUGGCCCUGUUGCCUUUUGCAUCUUUUGCUUAUUUACUUGUUACCCAUUUCUCUGAGGUAAAAAUAAUUCUAAGGUUAUGCUUUUGUCAAUUCACACUUUGCAAUGUUAGAAAUGAAGUAGUAAAUUGCAUAAGACUAUGCCUCACCAAAUCUUUGUUGCUUGUAAAUUCUCUCAUCAUAUUUAAAACCCCAAUAUGAUUAUAUAGAAGUUCAAUGACAAAAAUCUCUUUUUCUAAGGUCUUCAUUAUGUCUGCAAUAUUUUCAAUAUUCUCCAACAUUAGAUCAAUGCAAUGUGCUGUGCAUGGUUUCUAAUUUCGAAUGAUACAGCCUGGUACGCAGGGUUUUUAAUUUUGAAUGAUACCGCCCGUAUCGGGUGGUACGUACCGAGCGGUACGUACCAGUCCGUCAGCAAAUCGGUACGCGGACCGCCCGCUACUGGGCAAUACCGUGGAUUGGGGCUGUUCCCGCCCCGUUACCACUUGAAAUCGGUCGGUGACGGUCAAUUUUGACCGUCGCCGUCCACUACCGAGCGGUAUUAGCCGAGGGAGAAGGAAAAAGAGAGAGAAGAAGAGGGAGAAGGAAAGGGAGAACUUGGCGAUCUGGCGUUGCUCUCCCUCAACGAUCUUGAUUCGUCGUUGUCGUCCCUCGCCGGACGCUACAAAUGAGAUGUCACCUCCUCCUCGUCUUAGGUGAUGAGGCCUCAACGUCGUCGGCGACUUCUCCUAAUCUGUGAGGGGAGAAGAAGCCUCGGUGUGGGGAGAAGAAACUUUGGUGACGUCGUCGAGGCUUCACGAGGAGACCUCGGUGUCGUUGGCGACUUCUUCUAAUCUAUACGGGGAGAAGAAGCCUCGGUGUGGGGAGAAGAAACGAUGCCACAUUGCCUCGACGAUGUCGUCGCUUUUUUUUAUUUUUUUAACCUUUAUUUAUUAUUAUUAUUAUUAUUAUUAUUUUAUAUAUAUAUAUAUAUAUAUAUAUAUAUAUAUAUAUAUAUAUAUGCCAGAUCAUACAUCUCGGUAUACUCGUACCAUAUCAUAUUGAGCUGAACUCGAUACUUCGGUACGGUACGAAAUUACGAACCUUGGUACCGUGUACGGAGUCUAAUACAAGUGUUGUCUUUUUACUUGGAGUAAUUUACCUAAGAAAGAGGAUAAUAAUAUUGAUAAUACAUAAGAGUCACAUAGUUGCUUUCGUUCAAAUAGGCGACAUAGAGUAAUUAAAAGUUUUAAACAUUCAAAAGCUAAAUUUUACUUGUUAAAACAUGUUGCUUCCAUUAUUAGUUAUAAUUUGAACAACUUUUUGUUCUCCAAUUUCUUCUACAAACUUGUUAAACAACUCAAAUGUCGGUUCUCCAGAUUUCAUAAAAGAAGAUGCAUCUAUUGACUUCACAAACAUGGUUCCCAAAAAAUAGUUGAUCAUAAUUAAUUAUAAUUGUUUCAUCCUUCUCUUAUUAAUCCAGAAAUAUGACAUAAUAGAGUAAUCAUGCUUUGCCUAUGUUUCCUUAUGACCCUUCAAUAAAUCAUUUGUGUACUUCAACUAUUUUUUUAGUAAUAAAACUCUUAACUCAUGAUAACUUAGAGGUUUUAAUUUAGGACCACAUCUUUCAAUAGCUUUAAUCAUAUGUUUAAAAUUGUCUAAAUGAGAAGCAUUAAUGUGAGAUGCGAGCAAUGUGUUGAAUCAUUCUUGCCCUUAUUUUCUUAUCACAAGCAUCAUUUAUACCUGUUUAUCUUAGUUUUGCUUUUUCUGACCUUUUAUAGCUUUUUUUUAUUCUUGAAACAUAUACAAGUCCAUCGGUCCCCUUUUUUUGUUGUUGAAGUUUUAGCCUUUUUAGCAAUCACAAUUUCUUUUCCUUUUCUUCCGGAUACUCUUUUCCCACUGGCAUUGGCAUUUUUUAAAUGACCUUCCUCUUCAUUAUCAUCUCUAAUAUAUAGAGUAUCAUUAUCCUUAGGUAAAAUCAAGGUUCGUCGUGCCAUGGUGUAUCACUUGAUACGGGCUGUACGUACCAAUCCAAUAGAGGAUCGGUAUGGGCAGCACAUACUAAUUUGUUAAUACACCCCACUGUACCAUGUGUUGGUACGUACCGUAUCGAUGGCUGAUCGGUACACCGGUACAGACUGUUAAGGCGAACCAUGGGUAAAAUCCCAUAAGAUUUGUUCUUUUUUACCUUUUUAUCAUUUAUAUAAGCCAGUAACUCUUUUUAUAUAUCAGGUGGACACUUUUUGCAUAGUGAUGCAUUCUUGAAGUUCCCUACAUGAUUUACUUUGCAUGAAAAAUGUUGCCUUUAGUAGUUUUUUUGCAAAACAUACGAGUCACAACAUUAGGAUCUUUAGGAUCAUUUAGAUAGUUGCAUUUUCAACUGGGAUCCUUUCUCGAGUUUUUUGCCGAUGAUUCUUCUUAAUUACUCUCUACACUUGUUAUUAUUUCCUGAAAUAUAAAAAGGAUCAGACAUUGAAGGCGAAAUACAACGUUAAUAACAACAGAUCAUGUAGUAUGUUGCAAGCCUACAACUAUAAGGUGUUGUUUGCCCCAAUAGGGUGCUUAAAUCAAGUUCAUUUCCAUCUAUUAGGGUAAUAGAAAUUCCCAAAAGGGUGUUGUUUUGCAAGAAAUAAGAGUAGAUAUCGAAGGUGCGAUGUUUGUAUCUUCCAUUAUACUGUUAUGUUCUAACUCUUGAUAAUGUACCCACCUCAAGGUGCAGGAAAUUUAACAAAGUGCAAGAAAUAAAAUAGGAAAUAGGAGAUCCUUAGAGGUGCAGGAAAUAGGAGAUCAUCUGACAAAGUUGUUGUUGUUACCUAUAAAUUGAGAAAGAGGAGGAGAUGGAGUAGUGACCAAUUGGUGAAAGGCUGUGGAGUAUGGCACCGAGGAAGGCAGCAGCGAACAGAACGAAGGUGGCAAUCGACAAAGGUAGUGGUUAGGGUGGAGGAAGGUGGUAACCAAUGGCAGAACGAAGCUGGUCGAUGACGUAAGCUCACACGGUAGAGAAAUAAAGCUAUAGAUGACAACAUAGGGCAGAGGAGGCUCACGCCAGGGUUUAUUCCAUUGGGUUCCUUUCGCUAGGUUGGGCGUGGUGUUACGAACGGUCGUCGCGCACCUGCAACAACUUCGUUCAACGAACCGUUCGUCACUUUUGCAUGCUUGUACAGAUACAUGACAGCAUGUUUUGCCUUGGUUUUGUGUGUUUUUGCUUGAAAAAUAUAAGCAACGAUAGUUCGCGGCGCUGUAGUGCGAUUGCUCGCCGCGUCGGACCAAACUGUCCCAAAAUGGCUCUGUUUUCGCGUGCCAUAACCUGUUUUCUGCAGACCGUAGCCUCACGCAAAACGUCAGCCAUCUCAGUACCUUGAAACCCCCUAGGUGGCACCAGGGGGGAUGGAGCUUCGGGGUAGUGUCAGGCGUUGAACAAUCUUCACAAGUUCGCAUGUUAACUUGACGGGAACUUGCCUUCGCGCCUGACACCCGAUGAGCAGUUGUUUACAGACUUGCAAUUAUUUGUUCAACCUUCUAAAGUCCUUGUUUUUUCUUCCUUUCUUUUCUCUCUUGUACUUAAGGUGCUCGUUGAAUUGCUUGUAAAAUUCCCUCUUCGCGAGACGUUGGGACUUGUCCGUCGCUCGUUUUCAAACUAAUCAACUUUAUAUUUUGCAUAUUAGUCAUUCCAUCUCCUUUUUUUUGCUGGCUCAAUCUUUGAGUCUUCAUUUAGACUAAAAUUUCAGAGUCAUGCCAUCAAAGAAUUUGCAAAAUAUGAAGCACAUUUGGCAGACAAAUGGCUGCUUUUGUGGUAGUUAUACAGAGACCACUUCACUCAUUUAUUUGGUGAUAUAGAACAUUUCGAAGUAUCAUCUGAUGAUGCUGAUUCACUAUCAACAGGUAUUAAUGACAUGCAUAAGGCUAGUAGUCACUCUAGAAGCUAUCUCAGAACACUCUUAGAUUUAAUUCCAAGUCAAGGUUUUUAGAUUAUUGAAAAAAAUGGACACUACCUUUAACAAAAUAUGCAAGUUGGCGCCGACACGGGCAUGAUGAUUUGAAUCACAAAACAGCUUUAAAUGAUCAUAUGAAUUCUAAAUUUUAGGGUUUUAUGUAUGAUUUGAUUAUUUUUUUUAUAAUGUUUCUCAGCAGCUAAUUCUUUGCCCAAAUAUCAGAAAUUUUCCUAACAAGAUCAAACAUCUUUUCCUUAACAUAUGAUUUCUAAAGACGAUAGACUGGUGGACAGAAGAAAUCUGACACAGGUGUGCUAGGGAACAUUUCAAUCUACACGGAUUCUUCAUAAACACCAAGAAUCAAUUCAUAAUACUUCCAUUCUUUAGCAUCAAGAAUCAGACCCAAAGAGCAAGGUACAAUCGACAGAUUCACCACAACUGGACAAGAUCUUUACUAGACAUCUACGACAUAGCUGUGGGAGAAGGAAUCCCCCAACGAGAGAUCCCACCUCUUGUUCCAAGAAACCUAAGCCCGCUGCCUCUCUUGUUCUCCCAUUGAGUCGACACUUAAGCCAUGCAUAGGCAAUAGGGCAGGAGACAAACACAGUAAACUAGAGUGCAAGGAAGGUGGGAUCUUGGACAGUAAGAUCUCAAGAACAUCUACGGUGUACCUCCAGGAGAAGGAAACCCCUGAAAGAUCCCACCUUUGAUAUCAAGAACCCUCUCAUCCCGAUCGGGCAACAACCGAUCCAGUUUUAAAUAAGAGCAAAGGGAAAAAAACGAUACCACAUAAACAACCCCAAGAAAUUCCAAAAUCAACAGAAAAGAAGAAAUUUGUCAACACAACUCACAAAUACCAGAAUUCUUUAAUUUUACACAACUUAUUUUAUGUGUCUAGAACAAUUUGGCUUAUUAUAUUUCAUAUUGAUGUAAGAUCAGGAUAAACUAUCAAAUAAACAUGAAUCAUGAUAUGAGAAGAGAACCAAUAAAGCAGAUAAGAGGAGGAUCCCUACAUUGAUCUUUAUUUCACUCUAGCAGCUCCUGUCCUCCUCCUUUGAUGCCAUGCUAUCUAUCAUGAAAGAGGGCGAAUGACUGCUAUAAAUACAGGGUGAGGUGGUUAAACCCUAUACCUAUGUUUACUAAUGAAAUAAAAUUAUUAAUUUUCCCCUAAUUAAAAUUAGGGUAUUACAGUAUUGUACAACUUCCAAUGGAGAGCCUUUAUAGGCUAGCUUCUUUUCUCAUUCCAGAUUAUCAAACUCAUAAGUCCCUUAUUCAUGUUCUUUGCUCUUUAAGUUAUUCCGGGGUAAUAUUUAAGUUUUUAAAUAGGCUUUGCUUAUGAGCUAGAUUGCUUCUGGACCUUUAAACAUUAUUAUGUUUGUGUGAGUUUGAUUUGUUUAGAUUUGCUGAAGAGACCUAAAAAAAAGGCUGAAGUUGACUCAAUUGGAAAUUCAUUGUCUUUUGGAAGAAAGAAUCUUACAAAAUGUAUGUCUGUUUAUGCUCGUCUCCCUUUUCAUAAAUGUUUUUCAUGAUGAUGAUAACUAAUUUGUAAUUUCUUUUACAUCCUAUGCCUUUUAUCGUAUGAUAACAUAUUUUAUUUUUUUAAUAUUCUAUUCUCCUUUGAAUUUUGCUACUUUUUGCCUUUAUAUUUUGUGAUCUCAAUCCUUGUUGUCUUGAAGGUUCGGACAGUAAACCUUUUUGGUGAAAUUUGGGGUGUUGGUCCUGCCACUGCUCUUAAAUUAUAUGAAAAAGGUCACCGUAACCUUGAUGAUUUAAAACAUGAUGACUCAUUGACAGCUGCUCAGAAGAUAGGUCUGAAGUACUUCGAUGAUAUAAAGACAAGAAUUCCACGACAUGAGGUGCAAAAUAUGGCCUUCUAUUUUGUUUCUUUUCAUUUCUAUAAUCUUUGACUUAACUUUUUUUUUCUUAAAAUUGAGGUUAAAGAUAUGGAGAUGCUUUUACAAAAUGCUGGUCAGGAGGUUUUGCCUGGGGUGAGUAUACUUGAAAAUAUCUAAUUUGUACUGAUUUGUGUAUAUAUAUUAUAUACGUGAAAAAGUAUAUAUGUUUUUCAGAAAACUGUUGUUUUUCCAUAUUGUUGAAGCAUUUGUUUUCAAUUGUCCAUACUGGCGCUUCUGAUACAUAUAAAUUUCUUAAUUGUUUUUGGCCAUUUGCAUGUAUUUUUAAAGAUUCUUGGCAUACUGAAUCUGGAUGAAGAAAAACCUUUAAGGUAGCUGUAAAUUACUUAUAUAAACUCGCUUAAAUAUAUCCUGAUAAGUGCAAGUGAGACAAAUAAUGAAGGAAAGGGGAUACUUGUUGCUUAUUAUUAGGACCAGAUUGAUCUCAAGGAGACUAAAUAGAUGAAACAAAAAAGAGAGCAUAAGGGGUUUAGAAUUGGGGCAGCAUAUCCUUCCUGAAAAACAGAAUAUGAUUUUGUUCCUAUGAACUUAGAACACCCCCCUAAGGUAGAAAAGAAGGCUAGAAAACUUUCAGCUUUUUAGCUUGGGAUAGUAGGCCAGUGAAGUUUCCAAAACACUUUUUGGCAGACCUGCAUUGAGAAACAUGCUUCGUGUUUAGAUUCAUGGCUUGAAUAUGUCAAUCUGGUUUUUUUGGAAGGCCUAUCAGACACUUCUAUACAAUUCUUUCUUAGUAUUAAAAGGGACUUGUAAUUGCAUACGCAAGUUGGUAUUUGGUAAAAGUAUAUGAUUCAUAAGAAUUUUGUAACAAGUUAUGAAUUUUUGUUGCAAAAUAAAUAAAUAAAUAAAUAAAAUAUUUUCUUUCAUUAAAUGACAGCUAUUUCUUCAUCGGAAAUAAACUGUGAUUAUCUACUUCAGUUGAAUUCUCCUUACCUUGAUGUAAUCCUCCAAUUUAAAGUUCUAGAUUCUGUUCAUGCAUCAUUUCAGUGAAGCAUUUUGGUCUUCAAGGUAAUCGUUGUAUGUGGAGGAUCAUAUAGACGUGGAAAAGCUUCUUGUGGGGACCUGGACAUUGUAAUUACUCAUCCUGAUGGGGAAAGGUAACACAUGUAUCUUGACAUAUUUAUCGUGCAUAUUUAUAUUUUGGACAUGUUCAGCCUGGAAAUUUUCAUUCAGAUCGAAUACGAGGCAUGUGUAGGACCAUGAGCUGGUUCAUUACUGAAUCCUAGAUUUACCAUUAUAUUUUUUCAGAGGCUCAAGUUUCAUGUCCCAUGGAUGUUUGUUCUCUGUCUUGUAGGUUUAGGUGUAUUGAUAAACUUAAUCUCAUACUCCUCUCAAAAUGGUGAUAAAUUUAUCUGUUGGAUUAUCUUUUCAGAUUCCAUUUUACAUUUUUUAUUUUUUAAAAAUUUUGCCAUUUUGAUUAAAAUGUCCUGUAAAUAUAGUUGGUGCCAUCAUUCUGAUUCAUUAUGUGAUACAAUGCAAUUGUCUUGCAUAAUAUUUUGUCCAUGUAGGGUGUUCUGUUGAUUUUUGCACCUGCAGCACCAUUAUGGUCAUUUACUGGAUGUAGUGCACAAGUAGUGACAUGACUUUUACCCAGUGGAGUAUUUAUUGUUGAUUUUUUACGCAAAGAUAUUGCUAUUAAUUUUUUUUAUGUCAUGUAUUUCAUUUCUCUAGUAUAUAUCCAGUACAUGACAUGUUUCUAGUCAUACAUUUUCCUGCCUGGUAGCUAAAAUUGCCAAUUUAAAAUCUGUUAGUCAUGAAGAUGGCAAGUAGCAUGCACCAUCCAGUAUUGAAUGUUUUGUUUGUCAUCCGUUUGAAACAAGUUGUAAUAUUUUAUAUAAAUAUACCAACUUUGAAAUUUUAGUCCUUUGUUCCAUUGCAUUUGCACUCUAUUUUUAGGUGUGUUUACUAUACUUAUAUGACAUAUUGUUGACAUUUCAGUUUGUAAGGAAUUGAAAGAAUCAUUUCUUGUCGUUGCACCGAAAGUACAACUAUCACAAUCCAGGCCUGAUAGGAUAAUUGGCCUAUCAACUUUGUUUGGCUCAAACCAUUAGCCAAAAUACUUUAGCUGAAGUUGAUAGUAGUACAAUCAUCAGACCCUUAUAAGCCAAUCUUAGUCUUGCUCACUUUCGAUAUCGAACUAAUCGGGGGUGUUACAAUCUCUCCCACUCAAGGGCUUGACGUCCUCAUUAAGGCUCAGCAUAACUCAGAUCAAACCCUAGUAUAAUACAUGUGAGGCGUAGCUUAGUAGUGGCUCCAAGUCCUCUGACUCUAUCUAUGGGUAGCCCUUUCCUACUCGACCAUGCCCAAAUACUAGGUCAGCUCUGAUACCAAAUGUCACGACCCAGGCAUGAUAGGAUAACUAGCCUAUCAAUUUCGUUUGGUCUAAACCACUGGCUAAAAUACUUAAGCUGAAGUUGAUAAUAUUAGUAAUACACUCAUCAGAUCCGUAUAAGCCAAUAUUAGUUUUGCCAAUUUUCGAUGUGGGACUAAUCGGGGGUGUUACAACAACUACAAGAAUCACAAAAACAAUUACAACAAGGAUAUGACAACAACAUAAUAUCUAUGACAUCUACGGGCCAUAACUCCAUACUAUUUGGUGUUGGCUAUUUAGAUUCUUUUUUCUGUCAUUGAGCUUUAUUGAUAGCCACAUCACUAAUCAAACUAAGUCAUGUAUUAUACAUUAACAAUGGUCUUUUUAUUCAAAAAAUGAAAAUCUUUUCAUUCUUUUUUAGCUGAACUUUAAGUGAGACGGUCUAACAUGGCCACAAUUUUCUUUUUUUUUUCAGUCAUAAAGGAUUCUUACCCGGGUAUGUUCAAUAUUUGAAGGACAUUAACUUUUUAAGAGAAGACUUGGUAUUUAGCACUCAUAGCACUGAGGUAAGUGUUUAGCUUAUUUGCCUUAUUUUCUACUCCAUUUAUCCCAUCUUUUCGUUUAUUUGACAGUGUUCUAAACUAUCUGCUUGGGUCUGUAAUUUAUAUGAUAGAUAGUAAAGAUGCAUAGUGGUUACUUUAAGUUUAAGGUCUGUAAUUUCUGCUUGGGUGCAAGCACAAAGAGUAUAGCAAUAAAACUUUGAUUAAAUAUAAUAUCUUUGAGAGUUAAAAUAAUACAAACCUUUACCUUGAUUUCUUGCUUCUACUGGUCAUAUAUAUAGAACAUUUUUUUCAUAGGUUUAAUGCUCUAAGUGCUGUUGACACAUCUGUUUUGAACACGAAUCUGGUGCUUCAUCAUUUAUGUUGCCGUAUCUUUUAUUCACUUGCAAAGUACAACAUUAUCUUUCCUUGGUAAAAGGUUUAUUUUCAAUUUAAUAAGGUGAGGUUUUUGUGAUGAAUGACCAUCACAUACAGACACUUCAAAAUGACUAUGCUUAGAAUUUAGCUUUUGCAGAUGCACCCUCUUUAUCCCCCACUAUAUGUUUGAUACUGGGAUAAAUUAGCUGAAACUAAGCAACUUUAAAAGAUCUUGUACUGGGGACCUCAGGUGGGUUUUCUGGCAGUAGUUUCUAGAGCUACCAGAAUGUGAUCAAAUGAACAAUUUGGUAAGGCCAGUAGAACUGAUGAUGGGUUAUUGAAUGCUCAAUCCAAUGACGUCAAGAAUCUAUCAUGUUCACAUGAGGGGAAUUGUCUCACGUUACUUCAACUAUAUUCACAACCAGAUAAAGGUAGGCAAAGGAGAUCUUUUUUAAACAAAAUUUUUGAUGUCUUGGCUUGCUCUAAGAUUAUAUUUCUGGGGAUAUUUUCUGUUGAGAAUCUUAUUGUUUAUAAUUACGACUGAUUGCCUAUGGCUGGUCAUUCCACUUAUCAUCCAUUUUUUUGUUUAUAAUUUCUUCAAUUCUUUCAACAUUACUUUCUAGUUUCUUCAUCCUUGCGUUGUGAUCCAUAAAGAACUGAGAAUCAGCAAAAGUCAUCAUGCUUUGAGUAUAAUACAUAGCUAAAAAAAAAGCUAACUAUCCGGCUUGCUUGAUGCAAAAAUAAGCUUGAAUCCUGCAGUGGUCAACCCCCUUGAAGAUCCAUUAGCUGAUUUAGACACCUGGUCAAUUUUGGCUAUUAUCUUCAUAUUUGUUAUCCAUUUACUGCUUUGAAUAACCAAUCAUUUCUUCCGGGCUAUUAUCUUCAUUUUGUUCCAAGUAAGACAACAUAUGCAAUGCUACUAUUGUAAGUUGUCUAUAACAAAUAUAAAAGAAAUCAGCCUAGUGCCGCUUAUUUAACUGUGCUAAAUAUCUUAUGUUAUGGCACAAUCUGUGGAUUAAAAGUUGCUGGGAACUGUAUUUUUUAAUGAUAUAUGUACACUUAUUUUGAUGCAAUUAUGAAGAUGUUUCUCCUUGAACAUAACAUGGAAUGGCUUGUACUCCACUUGAUUUGUGGUUUCAGUUAGCUCUGAAUGGAUGGUAUAUUAAAGGAUAACAUGUUUGAUAGUUGAUACAAUGAUUGUUUAGUUUGGGUCACAUUGGAAUGUGACUUAAUAAGUAUGAUUCAUUGUGACAUAUUAUCUGUUAUAAUGUUAAUAACUACAUUAUUUAAGGUCAGCUCUGAUUUCUAAGCCAUGUAAUGCUGCAUUGACACUCUCUUAAUCUACCUUUUGUUGUUUUCAAAGUAUUGCAGGAUCUGUUUAUUCAUCAUUUAACUCGAACUAAUAUGCAGGGUACUGAUUCAGGGGUAGACACGUAUUUUGGUCUUUGCACAUAUCCUGGUAGAGAAUUGCGACAUCGGAUUGAUUUGAAGGUAAAGUUGCAAAAGUUUCUAAUGAAGAAAGAUGAGCUAUAUUUGUCAUUCUUUCCACGUAUUAUGACGUCGACAUUAUUAUCCAAGCCGUUUUGAGGAAUUACAUGAUCGAUCACUGUAGAUAAAUAUUUAAAUAUUUUUAUUUUAACAAAGAAUAUGAUUUUUUAUAUAAUUCAAAGUGGCAAAAGAUUCAUCUAGUUGAUCCUAAAUCAAGGUUCAUCAUACCGUGGCGUGCUGCUUAGUACAGGUGUUAUGUAUCAGUUCGACAAGGGACUGGUAUAGGCAAUAUAUACCGGUAUGUCUGUUUGCCCCAUCAUACUAUAUGUUGGUAUGUCAGUACGACUCAGUACGUAUUGUACUGACAGUCGGUCAGUAUAUCGGUAUGAACUAGUAAGGCGAACCGUGCCCUAAACAGUUGGAACUUUAUGGCUAUGUUGUUGUUGUUAUUGGUUUGUAUUAGAGGCCUAAUAAUCCUAUGUAUGUUAGGUAAAUUAAGACUAAAACAGAACUUGUUGUAAAGGCUGUGCUAGUUGGAGUAUAUCUACUUAUGCUGAUAGAUACCAUGAGAUUUUAAGAUCCUUAAUGGAGACCAGAAAAAAGUGUAAAGAAGAAUGUGGACAAUUGAAAUUUAAAUUAUCAGCAAAGAUACACAAUACAGGGAACCAGGGAGUAACUUCAACAAGAAAUAUUGGCAAAGAUGAACAAAUUCAAUAUUGUUGAGAGCAGUGAAAAGUUACUUCCAAUCCAUCAUCUUAUUAGCUAAGUGUGAUAAAAUCAUCAUAGCAACACGGUGAACUACUGUUACCAACAGUGUGUAACUCGUGACUUCCAUUUUCCAUGGUGGAUCUUCAUUUUAUGGAGAUGUUCAGAAUUGGUUCUUCAUGCUUGAAUCACCAUCUAAUAUUAAAUCUUCACAUUCUAGAUAUUUGGCAUUGAAGAAACUCAAAGUUAGUUCUGCUGGUUUCUCAAUGUGUUCAAUUAUCUUAUCAGUUUGUUGUUGUCGAUGCUUUUGCUGAUCAUGAGGUAUGAAUUGUUUACAAUAACAAGCCAUAAUACCCUAACAAAGGUUUUCAGUCUUGAGUUACCAGUACCGAUCAUUGAGAGGGAGGGAGAUCAGGUACCUGAUAUUAAACUGCAGUAGUCUCUGGAUACGAGGGACUGCAAUCCUUAAGAGUUGAGAACAGGAAGCUUUGGUGAUGGAAUAGGACAGUAAAUGACUAACAAGAAGAUUUGCCUCAAAAAAGAAGAGACGAAAAAUAGAAGAUAGCAUGUAUACAAUCUCCAUCAAGGAGAAUGUUUCAUCCUAGGUAGGUAAAGUCUACUUCGCUUUCUGUUGGCCACCAAAUUAUUAAUCCCCCAAACAAAGUACUCAGAUUCUAGAUGGCUCCAAUUUUUCAUUUCAAAAUGACUAUUUGGACGGACUUCUAUCAAAGUAUCACAUGAUUGUGAACUCUCAAUUUGUCAAUCCCCAAAGCAAGUUUGCAAGUUUCCUAUAGAUCCGAAAGAUAGACACUUGUAUUGUGUCUUAUAAAGCCUAUUUGUAUUCAUGAGCUAACUAAGUUUGAGUAUACUUUGUGUUUGCAGGUGUAUCCAAAGGAUCGAUAUGCUUUUGGACUAAUAGCAUGGACUGGAAAUGAUGUACUAAAUAGGCGGUAAGUAUCUAAUCUUUUUAUGAACUGGAAUAGUAUAGUUUAUUGAUCUUCCAUAGAACAUGAAUUGAUAAUUCUCAAAACUAGACUUUUGAAUUCUUGAAACUAGAAAUAUUGUGUUUUUGACCUUUGGUGUACAUUGCUCAUGCACUGCUAUAGAACAAUAAAAAAAUUUUAAUUUAUCAAAAGUCUAGAUGUCCUGUUUACGUGUACCUGAAUGUUGUCUUAUCUCAAUGUAAAGCAUGUAGUCACUCGUGAAUAUUAAUUUUUUUUUUUAAAUAUAUAAUUAAGGAGAAAUAUGAUCACUAAAAUAAAAAGGAGACAAUACGAGUUUCAUAUCAUUUUAUAUUCCAAAUAUCACCGUUAAACAAUCAAAUUAGAUUUGUUUAAAAUUCCAAAGUACUAUGUUGUCCAAAUCUAAUAACAAAAAUGAGAAAAUAAAACAAAAAUAAAAUUAACAUCAAUCAUCAUCAAAUUCCACUUCAUCAUCCUUAACAUUCAUAAUUUUGUCAUCAUCUUCCUUUUCAACUCAUUUGUAUCUCUCAAGCUCCUCUUAGGUGAUGAACUUAAAGCAUUUGCUCUCAUCUUUGGUUUUGUGAGAUGUCUUGUGUAUGUUCUUACUUCUCCAACACCCAAAGCUCUUGCUACAUGUCCCUAUAUCAAACUGUAAUAAUAAAAAACAAUGUUCAUUUGAAUUAUGGAUAUCAUAUAACGAAAUCAGAUCAAUGCUAUCCCACAAAUUACAAUGGGUCUGGAGUGCUUGAUAUACUUUAUAUAUAGAUAAGAUUAUGUAGUAGUUGAAGCUCUGACCGAUACUUUAUAUAUAGAUAAGAUGAUGUGCUUGAUCAAUGCUAUCCCCAAGUUCUUUUUGCCCCUUUGUUUAACAUGUAUUCGUAAGUAUUUCCAUUUAUUUCUUUUGAAUACAUAAUUGAGGCAGUGCAUCUUCCUGCAAACAAAAGGGUGAUGCCCUUUACAGUGCAUGUUCAUUUUGUAUAUUGAACAUGAUGUGAUGUAUUUGGAUUUCAUAUCUGUCCUGCCUUGGGAUUUUAGAGAUCUCAAAACAAAUGGCACGAGGCACGAUUUUUUCCUUUUUUCUGAAAUGAUUGCUUUUGCUUUGCAAGUUCAAAUGGUGAAAAAUGGUAACAUAACCAAGUCACCAAAAAGAAGUUAAGUUUCUUUCUAUUUGUCUAUCGGGAUUCAAUUUCUUCUUUGGCGGAUAUUCAUAGGUUGGGAAGAGUUCUUUUUCCUGCUUGUAGGAUUUGCUUUUUUCAUCUAAAACAUAUAUUGUUGUUGAACAACACAUGCUGCAGGUUGAGGUUGUUAGCAGAAUCCAAGGGAUACAGGCUCGACGACACGGGACUGUACUUGGCCACCCAGGGUUCUCCUGGAAAGAGAGUAAGUAAACGUAGCUGCUUUCUCAUGAGAAGCAAAACCAUAUAUGUUUCUAGAUUAAUUAUUAUUUUUUCGUUAUAUAAACUGCUACACGGAUUCGAACAUGAGACCUAUGUCUAUAUAACAAUAUACUAACCAUGAGGAAGUCUCAACAGCAAUAAAAGCUGCACAAUUUGGCAUGCAUGACCCAAAUUCCUUUCUUGCUUUGCAGGGGACCAAAUCCAGCACCAGAGUAAGCUGUUACACGGAGAAGGAGGUGUUUGAUGUACUUGGGUUCCCUUGGCCGGAACCUCAUGAGAGGAAUAUGUGACUUCACUUGCUUGAACCCUUUUGUGUACAUGUCUACUGUCUUUCUUGGGUAUCUUUUCCUUUUUGACUUUGUUUCAUAUGUGCAUUUGUAAAAGUUAGAAAGAAACGAAGAUGCCAUCCGGUUUUGUCACAGCCGUUAUCCAUGUUUUUCGUUGAUUGUUUCAUUUGAAGGUGUGGUGAACUUAACAUAUUUGCUCUUCUAAUAUUAUGGAUAUAUUAAUAUAUAUCCCAUCAGAUAUUUAAAUAUCUCAUGCAUGCUAUUCCUGUCAAGUGUUCAUCAAACAAAUCCAGGUUCAUGGCUAUUAACGACGGUUGUAGGUGAGUUUUAAAUAUAUUAAAAAUUAAAGUGCUUUAAAUAAUUUUUAGUAUUUUUAUCAAAAAUAUGAAGGGUAAAAUUUUGAAAAAAGUUCUUAUAUUAUAGGAAUUUUUGCAAAGCACUUCAAUUUUAAAAAAAUUUCUCUUGCCCAUGCGAAUAGAUUAUUUUAUCUCAUCAUUGUCGCCCUUGCAUCGUCGCCUUUAUCCUAUGUUGUGGUUGACCCAUUGGAUGUGCUUGCUCAUAUCGCUCUCGUGUGAGGAAGGAAGAGGCAUGAUGAUGACAAUGUUUUGUCGCCGUUGUGUAAGAUGAGGUUAUGUGGGUGGCAAGGUAGGGGGUGGCUCAUUGUCAUCAUUAGGCCUAAUGGGAUUGUUGCACCUUUGUUGAUUAGCAUGUAUGGUGGAGAUGAAAGCGGCACGAUAUGUAUGAGAGGAGAGAAGGUGAUGCAAGGUGAUGGUGUACGACGAAGGCGAGUCCCGAGGGAGGAGGAUUGGUAGUGUAGGGCGAAGGUGGGUCCCGAGGGAGAACGAAGAGGGGGAGGGAAUAGAAUUAUAAUGGUGUUUACAUGUGAAGUUUUACGAGGAUACGUGAAAAUCAUUAAUUUUUAAAAAAAUAUAUAUAAUUUUAUGUUAAUUUUUUUAUAAGUUUAUAAUUUAAUAUUCUAUCAAUUCACGUUCUCCUCGAAAUUAAAAUACUUAAUGACACGAUUGAUGUCCGUAAAAUUUGCGCUUGAUGGAAAAAAAAAUCUGAUUAUAAAGUGAGAUAAUAUAAAAUUCUAUCAUGUAUAUUCUUUUCUUAUUAAUUUAAUGCAGGACGUAACAUUUAAGUUUAACAAAUAUCUAAUGAACGAUAUACCAUUUAUAAUUUCGUGAGAAGAAAUAAAGAAGUAGUAAGUGGAUUUUGGGACUCGAAUGAAGAUUGUGCAAAUAUCGAGGGGUUUAUAUGUAAAUAACAUAUAGAAGAAGGGCGUAAAAGGAAAUUUCCGUUUCUUUUCAUUUAUUUUCAUUAAAGCCCCCCUUUUGUCCUUCAUUCUGUAAGCUGAAGUGAAAUUUAGAAUGUUGGUGGACUUUUUGGACAAGAUGCAAGAUUUCCCAGUAUCUUAUUGGGAAAUCUUGUCGGCUUCGGUGUCCAACACCGGACUGGUCAUUCCUCCAUGGCUGCUGCUGCUUCUGCUGUGAUUGCGCUGGUAUCUUCUCCUCUUCUCAUUCCUCCCCCUAAAUCAAACGCCCCUCCUCCUCCCUUCCCUUCCCUCUUCCACCGCCCCGUCCCAUGCCCCUCACUACCUCUUUCCCCUUCUCGCCUAUCAUCUCCAAGAUUCCACCGCUCCAUCCCUUUGAAGCGAGCCCCUCAUCGCGGGAACCGAUUCACUUGCAGGGCCGCGGAGUACAAGUUCCCCGACCCGAUUCCUGACUUCGCUGCAGCCGUAUGUUCUCCACCCCCUUCGUGUGUUAGUUCUUUUGGUUUUGUUGAUCUUGCUGGUAAAUUUGCUUUUGGUUCAGGAGACAGACAGGUUCAGGACGCAUAUGCUCGAGAGGCUGACGAAGAAGAAAGAGCACUUUGGAGAUUCUGUCGGGGAAGUUGUCGAUGUCUGCACUGAGGUUAAGAACUAUCCCAUUAUGAUCGAUUGAAGUCACAGAACUUUGUCCCCCUUCUGUAGCUAAAAGUUUAGAACUUGUUCUUGCUGCUGUUGUUAAGAGCAAUUCUUUUGCGUGUGCUUUAUUAUCAACCUUUACUGUUAACUGGUAGAACUGCUUACACGUAUGUAUUGGGGAACAGAAUGCACCUUAGAGGUUUUUUGAAUCCUAUAUAUGUGUACGUAUGUAAAGUAAAUGUAAAUGAGAGUAGAAUAUAAACGAAAAAGGCCUUUCAUAAUGGAGACAGCUAUCGUGUGACAAGGAAGUACAGCAUAAUAUGUUGAAAGUAGGUGUUGAUUAGUUGUAGAAUGAGAAAGACAGAAGAAAGAAAAUAUGGAGUCACACAAUGAUUAACAUAAUACACUGAGAGGUAUAAUCCCAUUGAAUUGUAGCACCAGACAUGCUGGUUGUUGCUUAAUUCAAUUUUGUAAACAAUCUAGAUAUACAAUGAUUCGUUGCUUAGGAUAUUGUGUUUUUUGUGUUUUUUUAUCUUAGGAACACUUUCAGCAAUGCUAUGCCAUUAAUUUAGGAUGUUGCAUUUUUGUGUUUGGGACAUUUUCAGCAACACUAUGCCCUUAAUUUUACAUUUCGACUAGGUGUGGGCUAUUAUGAGGGUGGUUCAGUAGUCACGUUAGCUUCAUAACAAAUAGCUGAUACAAUCAUCAAAAGAAUAUGAAGGUAAAAAAGGGUGUAUCCAAUAUAUGGGGCUCUUGCCAAUGCGGGGUCUGGGGAGGAUCAAUGUUAAAAAAAUAUGAAGGUGACUUGAGUCAAAGCUUACCUGAGUCAGGAAAAUGAGCUUCAUUUCCAGUAUCAAAACCCUUUUCCAUGAUUAAUAAGAUAUCACAAUAGAGAUCAAUUAUGACAAAGGAUGCACCCUCUUUGAGUUUGUAAUGAUGAAUUGUACUCGUGUCUCAUGUUUAACCAAAAUCUGAACCAUACUGCAUUUGCUGGAAUUACUUCCUGCUCAUGCUUGGUUGUCCUCAGAGGUUUCUGACCUACCAAUGUGUCUAGGAGAGAGAUGCCAAAGCAGUAUAGUGCUACUGAUAACUCAAAUUGGACAUUUCACUGCACAAGAAUCAAGAUUGGAUGCGCAUAUAUGAUUCGUGAACUGACCUCUCACGACCCCAUUGUUGUGCCUAAUUGGUUGUACUUAAGAAUAUAAGAAUGAAAUGUUUUUGAUCUUAAAAGGUGAAACAUCUAAGGUUGGUGGCUUGACCAAGGUUUCCAGGAGGUGUGAAUGCAAAGGAAGACUCAAAAAAAUAAAAAGAAAAGCUAUGUUUUAAUAAAAAGUUGGUGAGAAUAUAUAUUGUUUUUCAUAUUUGGAUUUUAUGGAAUUUAAAAGACAAGCAUGAGAUUGACAUUGGUAUGUGACACUAGAUAUCGACAUAUGAACAAGGAUUGCAAUUUCAGGUUCCGGACCCUUAACAGUGACUUGGACAGACCUAUAUGUACCGGUUGGUAUUAGCACAUUGACACAUGGUACACCGAUAUGUACUAGUGACUUAAAGAGGAAGAAGAAGGAGAAGAGAAAGGGGUAGUGGAGGAAGAGGAGGAAGGAGGAGGAAAGAAGAGGGAGGAAGAAGAGAAGGUAGUGGAGGGAAUAAGGAGGAAGAGGAUGGAAGAAGAGGUGGUGGUGGAAGAGAAGGAAGAAAGAGAGAAGGCGGUGAGUAAGAAGGAAGGAAGAGGAGGAAGCGUACCCGUCGGCGAUGGGUGGCGGGUAAUGACAACAUGAGGAGGUGAAACAACUUGCGGAGGGCUCGCGAUACUUAUAAGUUUUAAUUUUUUUUUAACGGGUCAAAGCGGGCCACCCGAAAUGGGGGCAGUCCACGUGCCAGUUCAUGCCUGAACCAAUACAUAUCGCCUACCUGCUUGGUAUCAGUGUGGGCAAAAGAGUUUAACAUAUUAUUGAAGUCUUGUAAUUGAAAAUGGUUGGUAAUUUAAAUAUUGUUGUGAUUGUUUCAUGGUUUGUUGAGAAGUAUGUAGUUACUGUAUAAGCUUUUGUUGUUUUGUUUUGGGCAUAUGGUCCUCGAGAUCAUACACUCCUAAUAAUGGUAAAUAUAUCAACCUUAACCUUUUCAUACUGAAAGUCAGUGUCAUCACUCUCGGUCUGGGAUUACUACCUAAUUUAGAGUUUCCUCAUGUCAAAGGUGAUGCAAAAUCUUGACAGUUGACACAGAAACAAACAAAAAGCUCGGGGGCUCCAGCCAUGGUUAUUAUAGGAUUGACUCAUGUAUGGAUUUAUAUGAUUAAUCCGACUGAUAAAUUGGUUGGUUUCAGGUGCAUCUGACUUGGAGUUUUCUUGGUGCAUGUUAGUUGUAUCAUGUAAACAUUUGAAUACUUACCAUUAGUGGAUUGACUGUUGUUAGUUUAUCACACUUGAUUUGUUUAAGCAAGGUCAAGUUGAGUUGACCAUAGAUCUAUAUAUCAUAUUUUACAACACCUUGUCCUAUCUAUUCACUAAGUAGUCUACGCUAGUCAGGCAAUGUUAUCAAUAAUUGUACGUGUUGUUUUUUAUUUUAGUAUUGUGGUAUAAUUAACACACAGAAGUAUUCUGAAGAAGGGAAUCUCUAGAAACAAAGACAUGCAUAAUUAGCUUCAAAAUGGAGUGAUUGAAUGCCACUUGCCAGCCAACCAAAGUUAUCCUAAUUUCUUAGUCUGUAGCCAUGGAAGAAAAAAGGUUCUUGAAAAACAAAAGGAGGUUGAUGAUAGAAGCUUGAUCCAAAUGCAAAACAUCACAUGAAUCAAGUGUUGGAAGCAACCUGGGGUUGGACUGUGAGCAGCAUGGUGGUUUUAGUUUACAAAUUGAAGUUUCUAGGAUUUCUGAGGAAACAGUGAUGGUUAUCCAUAGUAUUAAAGUGAAUGACUUUUAUACUAGAUUGUAACACCGGUUUACAUAUACAUGGUUCACAGAAUCCUAUGCUAGAUUGUAUUACCAGCUUCAAUACUAGAUUGUAUAGAAGCAUGUAUUUACCAGCCUAAUCCAUAAUGUAUAAGUACAUGAUAGAUAACUGUAGAAACACUUGUUUCAUGAAAAUGAAUUUAAAAUGUCUAAGUGCUGGUUGGUAUGUGCUACGAUGUGUGUUGGAAGAAUUAUAUUUGGGGGUUCCUAUUGUAUCAUUGUACCUCCAUUCAUGCAAAUGAAGCACCCCUAAUAAUUACCACUCAUGGAUGCAGGCCUAUAUGUCAAACCAUAUAAAUAUAUGUGUAAUGAGUAUGAGCAUAUAAAUACUUGUUCUACAACCAUAGAUAUACUUGUGCUGCAUGAUUCUGUGAUUGUUGUCUCGCGCUUCUCUUCUUUCUUAUCCUUGGUGUGAGUUGAACAUCUAAACUAGAAAAAUGAAAAUGAUACAGAUAGUUUCCACUGAUACGAGUAAAAUCAAUAUAGAAUAAGAGAAGCACCCAUGGUUUUCUAUCCUCUUCUAAUAUGAACAUUUACAAACUAUCAAAACUUAGAUCUGCUAAUCCUCCUCAAUGUUUCACUAAACAACACACCGGCAGCUGGAUUUUAUCUUCUCGUAAAUGACAAGUCAAUACAUUGAUUGUUACUUUGCUUUCAUAUUUUCCUUGAAUGUGAUAUAAUCAUUCUCAUAGUGUGGUCAAUAUUUUUUUAACUCAAGUCAGCUUUUUCAUUGCUGUAAUUGUAGGCUUCCUGUUUUUUUUUUCCUGUCACUUCCUCCAUGAGAAGGAUUUACCAGCAUGCCGGUAACUAACGGAUUCUAUUUAUCCACAAGUAAACCUCACACCAUAUUGGUUUUGCUGCAGAUCUUGAGCAACUUCUUGCAUACAGAAUAUGGUGGCCCAGGGACACUCCUGGUCAUUCCGUUCAUCGACAUGGCUGAUACACUUAGAGAGAAGGGGCUUCCCGGAGCUCCUCAAGCGGCACGUGCUGCAAUAGUUUGGGCCCAAAAGCACGUUGACGAAGAUUGGAAUGAAUGGACAGUUGGCGAAGAUUCAGACUUGGAUUAGUUUUUACAAUGAAUAGAUUAGAGUUUCAUGUUCGUAGUCAGUCUUACGGAAGGUGUUUGAUCUUGAAUUGCAAAAAUGGCAUGCCACCGUAUGAUGAACAAGAAUCAAUCAAGGAUUAUGUACUUCUAGAUGAUGGAGUGUCAGGGGUAGUCUAACCAUGGAUGUAGGGUUUUGUUGAGUCAUUUUGUGGCUUUUUGUCCCUGUAUGUUUGAGGAUGAGUGGUGAUACACAAAUCAUAUUCUGUUAGAAUUAAUCAUGAGUUGAUGCUCACGCAGUUGGAUUUUGCUUGUGAACUUAAGUCUUCAUCAAGCCUUUUAUAUAUAUAUAUAUAUAUAUAUAUAUAUAUAUAUAUAUAUAUAUAUAUAUAUAUAUAUNNNNNNNNNNNNNNNNNNNNNNNNNNNNNNNNNNNNNNNNNNNNNNNNNNNNNNNNNNNNNNNNNNNNNNNNNNNNNNNNNNNNNNNNNNNNNNNNNNNNNNNNNNNNNNNNNNNNNNNNNNNNNNNNNNNNNNNNNNNNNNNNNNNNNNNNNNNNNNNNNNNNNNNAAUAUUUCAUCCAAAGGCAAAAUAGAGAUGAUAGUAAUUGUUUAAUAUUUAUUAAAAAAAUAAAAAUAUUAUUUUAUUUUAUUUUAUUUUAUUUUAUUUUAUUAUAGUGAUAUUUUUGUCAAUAUAUUUUUGUAAAUAUUUUUUUAUUUUUGAAUUAAAUUAUUAUAAAUGAAAGUAUAUAUAAUUUACAUUGAGUGUAUUAGGUUUUGAUCAUACUAAUUACUGAAAAUUACGGGAAACAAAUAAUUGAGAUAAAUGAUUGAGAAAAGUCUAAAAGACUUAGCUUUAUGAUAAUUCAUAAUAAUAUUUAGAUUUCAUUAUAGUCUACAACUAACAUAUUUGAAUGUUUUAAAGAUAAAUUUAAAUUUACUAACAAGCCAUUAACUAACAUAUUAAUAAAAGAAUUGAUUGAAAUUAAGUAUAAUAGUAUUUGAGAAACUCAAAAAUAUAUCCUCAAUAUGUAUGACAAAGCUGUAACCAUAAAAAAAUUAUAUAAAUAUAAUUAAGUUUUUUUUGUACAAUUUAUUUUUAAUUAUAUUUCUUCUUAGUUUGAUUCAUUUAAAAUUUAUUAUAAUAAAAUUAAGGAUAGUGAAACCAGUUUGCUAGCAUAUAUGUUUAGAAAGAAUUAAAAUUAAAGUAAGAAAUACUCAUAAUAUAUUAUUCAAGAAGUAAUAAUAAAAGAAAGUUGAAGCGUAAAUCACUCAAGUUUUUAAAUACUAUAUAAACUCAUAAAAAAAAACUUCAUAGUAAAGUGUUAUUUUUAUGGUAAGAAAGAUGUGAAAAAAGGAUUAUAAGAUUUUGGUUCGAAAGGAAAAGAUAUAAGUUUGACCUUUGUAUGUUU
rnacentral:lncRNA from 1 species